rnacentral:rRNA from 1 species
UACGGAGGGAGCUAGCGUUGUUCGGAAUUACUGGGCGUAAAGCGUGCGCAGGCGGCUAUGCAAGACAGAUGUGAAAUCCCCGGGCUACAACCUGGGAACUGCAUUUGUGACUGCAUAGCUAGAGUACGGUAGAGGGGGGAUGGAAUUCCGCGUGUAGCAGUGAAAUGCGUAGAUAUGCGGAGGAACACCGAUGGCGAAGGCAAUCCCCCUGGACCUGUACUG